AGAAAUGUAGCUCAAUGGUAGAGCGCUUGCCUGGCACGCAUGAGGCCUUGGGUUGGAUUCCCAGCACUGCUU
rfam:Ictidomys tridecemlineatus contig058566, whole genome shotgun sequence.